rnacentral:misc_RNA from 1 species
GAUGAAGAACGCAGCGAAAUGCGAUAAGUAUUGUGAAUUGCAGAAUUCAGUGAAUCAUCGAAUCUUUGAACGCACAUUGCGCCCCCUGGUAUUCCGGGGGGCAUGCCUGUCCGAGCGUCAUUGCUGCCCUCAAGCACGGCUUGUGUGUUGGGCCCCGUCCUCCGAUCCCGGGGGACGGGCCCGAAAGGCAGCGGCGGCACCGCGUCCGGUCCUCGAGCGUAUGGGGCUUUGUCACCCGCUCUGUAGGCCCGGCCGGCGCUUGCCGAUCAACCCAAAUUUUUAUCCAGGUUGACCUCGGAUCAGGUAGGGAUACCCGCUGAACUUAAGCAUAUCAAUAAGCGGAGGA